rnacentral:rRNA from 1 species
UACAGAGGUCUCAAGCGUUGUUCGGAUUCAUUGGGCGUAAAGGGUGCGUAGGUGGCGCCGUAAGUCGGGUGUGAAAUUUCGGAGCUUAACUCCGAAACUGCAUUCGAUACUGCGGUGCUUGAGGACUGGAGAGGAGACUGGAAUUCAUGGUGUAGCAGUGAAAUGCGUAGAGAUCAUGAGGAAGACCAGUGGCGAAGGCGACUACCUGGCCCAUUCUUGACGCUGAGGCGCGAAAGCUAGGGGAGCGAACGGG